rnacentral:rRNA from 1 species
UUAAAAAGCUCGUAGUUGAAUUUCGGGAUCAGAUUGUCGGUCGUGCCUCGGUACGCACUGGCAUUAUUGGUUCCUACCUUCUGAAGAACCGCGAUGUCAUUAAUUUGGUGUCGUGGGGAAUCAGGACUGUUACUUUGAAAAAAUUAGAGUGUCUAAAGCAGGCGCACGCUUGAAUACAUUAGCAUGGAAUAAUGAAAUAGGACGUUUGAUUCUAUUUUGUUGGUUUCUAGGAUCGACGUAAUGAUUAAUAGGGAUAGUUGGGGG